rnacentral:lncRNA from 1 species
AGAACCAUAGCUCGGUUUCUCCUCAUCAUCACUCCUUCCAUAGCUAGUUUUCCUCCCAUAGCUUGGCUUCUCCUCGUCAUCACUCCUUCCAUAGCUAGGUUUCCUCUCAUACUCAGUCCUCCCAUAGCUCGGCUUCUCCUCAUCAUCACUCCUUCCAUAGCUAGGUUUCCUCUCAUAUUCACUCCUCCCAUAGCUUGGCUUCUCCUCCUCAUCACUCCUCCCAUAGCUUGGCUUCUCCUCCUCAUCACUCCGUCCAUAGCUAGUUUUCCUGCCAUAGCUCGGCUUCUCCUCCUCAUCACUCCUUCCAUAGCUAGGCUUCCUCUCAUACUCACUCCUUCCUCCUCCAUACCCUUCUUCCUCCCCAUAACCACUCUUCUUCCUCCCCGAUCCAUACUCCGAUUCACCACUCUCAUACUCAUUCUUCCGCCCAUAACCCUCACUCUCCUCCUC